rnacentral:rRNA from 1 species
UGGGGAAUUUUGCACAAUGGGGGAAACCCUGAUGCAGCGACGCCGCGUGAUUUAGAAGGCCUUCGGGUUGUAAAAAUCUUUUCUAUGGGAAGAAAAUGACAGUACCAUAGGAAUAAGGACCGGCUAAUUACGUGCCAGCAGCCGCGGUAAUACGUAAGGUCCGAGCGUUGUCCGGAAUCAUUGGGCGUAAAGGGUACGUAGGCGGGUAAGCAAGUUAGAAGUGAAAUCCUAUAGCUCAACUAUAGUAAGCUUUUAAAACUGCUCAUCUUGAGGUAUGGAAGGGAAAGUGGAAUUCCUAGUGUAGCGGUGAAAUGAGCAGAUAUUAGGAGGGAUACCGGUGGCGAAGGCGAGUUUCUGGCCAUAACCUGACGCUGAGGUACGAAAGCGUGGGUAGCAAACAGG